UUAUAUUUUGGCAGGUUUGAUUGGUGGAUCAGCGCCUUAUGUGGCCUCACUGCAUUACCACACUUUUCCUAAGAGAAGUGUGUUGUUCCCAGAUCUCUGUUUUAGAAACCAUGUGCAGGUGAAGUGAUGAGCUCAACCUUCUCUUAAUUGGACCAGAUGUCUGCAAACUGUGCUGUCACAAUACAUUUUGACCCCUGACAUUUGCCAACUCGACACCUCUGCACUUAUUGCUCAACAGAGCAAAGAACCAUACAACUCAUCUGUCCACCUCCAGAGCACAGAAUGCUCAGGUCAGCAGCAAAAUACAGAGUGAAUAUCACAAAGCAGACUGGUUCUGACUAUGUUGUCACCCAGCUGAGGAGGAAACGAACAUGGCAAGCCAUUAAUCCACAUUAACACUUUAACAGUGACUAACUGACUUGCAAACAUUUUGCGGAAUCAGGUUUAACUUCUAAUGUACCAAUACUAGGCCUGUUAAACAAUUACUAUUUUUAAUGGAAUUAUUCAUAUAUGCAAUUUGAUCAAUCAAAUUAACUGCAAUUAAUCACAUCAACAGAUGCUGAAAAAAAAAAAAAAGAAAUAAAGGCAUUACAGCAGCACACAAAAUCAUCACUCUUAAAAAUAAAAGUUCUUUGAUGGCAUUAAAGGUUUAGUGAAGAACUUUUAAAAUCCAUGGAACUUUUCCAUGGCACAAACGUUCUAUAGAAUUAGAUUAUUGAAAUGUUCCUCACACUGCAUAAGGGAGGGAGGGAGAGAGAGAGAGAGAGAGAGAGAGAGAGAGAGAGAGAGAGAAAUAUUUCAAGGUUUCACAUAGACUCCCUGCAUGUAUGGUGUGUGUUGGAAACAUGCUCCUUUAGUAUAAUUGUAUACUUUUUACAGUGGUUUGUUUGUCUACUUAAAAUGGCCACAUGACAGAUAAUCUCCUGGUCAUAUAACAGAAAAUCUCACAGGUGGUAUAAUAAGAUUAAUUGAACCUAAUCAACCAUGAAAAAAUGUGAACUCUUGUACUGUACAUAUACAUAUAAAUCUAUAUUUAUGCAUAUAUAUAUAUAUAUAUAUAUA
ensembl:lncRNA